rnacentral:miRNA from 1 species
AUUUUUACAAGGGCUUCUAACCCUUCAGUAAGCAUUUGUUUUCAUGGAGAUAUAUAACAAUGACAAUAAAAACAAACACUGAAGGGUUAGAAGCCCUUGAAAAAAU